GCUUUGGUGGUGUACUGGUCAGCACGCUCGACGCGAAACCGAGUGGUCCGUGGUUCGAUUCCCGGCGAAGGCG
rnacentral:tRNA from 1 species